rnacentral:rRNA from 1 species
AGCGAUAGCUGGUUUCUCAAGAAAAGAAUUUUAGUCCAGCCUAAAGAAAUUUAAUUUAUAACAAAUUUACCUUUCACUUUAGAGUAAUUCAAAUAAGGUACAGCCUAUUUGAUACAGGAUUCAACCUUCAAAAACGGGUAAGAACAAUUAAUAAUUUAAGUGGGCUUAAGAGCAGCCACCUUUUAAAAAGCGUCAAAGCUUAUAUAUUAUCCCAAUCAGUUAAAUUUUAUCAACCCCUUCAACCUUACUGAGAACUUCUAUAAAUCUAUAGAACCUUUUAUGCUAAAACUAGUAACAAGAGAUAACCCCUCUCUAUAAUGUAAAUAUAACCCAGCAAGAACCCCUCACUGGUACUUAACAGACUUAACCUAAAGUAGUAACUUCCCUAGAAAACCCCUCUUUAUCUUCUGUUAACCUAACCCCAGAACAUUACAAGAAAGAUUAAAAGAAAAAGAAGGAACUCGGCAAAUUCUAGCCCCGCCUGUUUACCAAAAACAUCGCCUCCUGUUCUCAUAGGAGGUCCAGCCUGCCCAGUGACUUAAUUUAACGGCCGCGGUAUCCUAACCGUGCAAAGGUAGCGUAAUCACUUGUCUUCUAAAUAAAGACUUGUAUGAAAGGCAUCACGAGGGCUUAACUGUCUCCUUUCUCCAAUCAGUGAACCUAAUCUCCCCGUGAAGAAGCGGGGAUAACUAUAUUAGA